UUUCAACAAUGUAAUCCCCUACUUGUGAGGUAUUUUGGAGUGUACAGCAUACUCCGGGGAGAAUAACGCACCAGAAGGGAAAGCAAAAACCAUACACACCCAUCCACAAGUCAGAAGCAACAGCUGCAAGUCACAAUAUUAAGACUCUGCAUUGGGCUGCUGUUGCUUUCUCAUUGGAAGUUAGCACCUUUUUACUUACUUCCCUUGAAUGCUGAAAGAGAAAAGAAUGAUCUUGAUGCUUUUGUUGUACUUGCUGGAGCUGAAAGCCGGCUUGCUUGCAGUUUCUGA
rnacentral:misc_RNA from 1 species